UCGAGUGAUUAUAUCCGAAACGACAACUGCUGUGCGCUAUUUGUCAUCAACUGCAUUCUUCGUCGUAUCACCAGUUUGCAAUCAUGGUAAACUAUGGCGUCGUGCUGCUGUUGAUUGUUGUUUUUUAAAAACCACACCAUCGAGGCUCCAGAAUAUUACACUACAACUUAUGCUGCCCCGAAUUGUAUCACCAAGGUCCCGAGUGCUACACCAUGGCUCCCAAGUACUACACCACCAAGUCACCGAAGUACUAUACGACUACGUAUGCUACCCCACCUGCUGAACCGCGACUCCCAAGUAUCACUCUGCUUCAGUUACUAUACCGAGGCUCCAACUUACUAUACCACCAAAACUGCUGAAUGCUAUACCGAAGUGCUAAAUACUACACCACUAAGGCUACAGAAUAUUACACCACAACUUAUGCUGCCCGAGCUACUACUCCGCAGCCCAGAUUUAUUAUUCUGCACCGAGCCCGAUUACUUCGCUAAGGCCCUGGAGUACUACA